GUGGGCUUCAUUGAAAUGUGCUUGAUUAUAAGAAUUCCAUUCAAACCCAAGCAAAACUCUAUUAAAGUAGUGAGGCUUUUUCAAAGUAACCCCGUUUUCGUUAACAACACGGGUUUGCCCUUCUACAUAGUCCCCAAGCAUCUCUUGCUCCUCUGCAUCAUCGGAUUGUAAGUAUUCUCUUUCGAGUCGUGCCCUGUUGGCAAUUGAAAAUUCAUCCUCGUUAAUCAGAUUACUGUUUUUCGGCAAAGUUGGCUUUUGUUUUUGGGUAGGUAUCGAUAUUGGAAUAUAAGUGCUAGACUUUACAAUAUUGACAUGAUCAUUCUAGAAAAGAUUUUGGUUAGGACAAAAGAUGGAAAUCGUAAUUUGGAAGAGAGUUAAUAUUAUGAAAAACACAAAUAUCUUACCAAUUCUUUUUCAUAAUCGGCUUGUUCUUCAGGUUGUAUCCUGCGUGGUAUCGCUUGAGCCCUCAAAAUGGGCUUCGGGUCUAUAGGGACAAUAUAUAACUUCUCUUCACGAUCCUUCAUAUUUGACAGUUUUUUGGCAUCGGAAAAAGCUUUGUCCCAUUCUUCAUUAUCAAGUUUAUUUUUUCGAAUUUGUAAUUCUUCAUUAAAAGUCUUUUUUAAAUAAGCAAUGGCCUUGUAAGAUUUUAAAGAGUUUAGUAAAUCAACCCAAUAAUCUGUAUCGAGAGGGACAUUGCUCUUCAAUUUUUUUUGAAUUUGUGCCUCAAGCUGUUCUAAUUGUUCAAAAGAUUUAGGGGCUAAAAUCCUUUGUACUUCACCUGCUACGACCUUUAACCCUCUUGAAAAUUGCCCAACUUUGUUAUGUUCCAUUCGAGAAUUCACUAGCAUUUUAACGUACUAUAAUGUAUAAUUUAGCACUUAAAGCAUAAAAAAUAAUCCAUACCUUCCAAUAAGUUAGUCUACAUUGGUUCGUUUCCAGCUGCUGAAUAUCACCAAUAUUUCUAGAUAUCUCCUCCAAAUCUUCUGCUUUAUAACUCUAAGUAUGUUAAUGAUUAAUCUGUUAUAAAGUAAAAAUAAAAUAAGUCCCUUACUUGAAUAACAGAGAGUGGAUCAAACAUGUCAACUGUUCCAAAAUCAAUUGAAUUUUUUUCUCCAUUCUCUUCCCAUUCUGGGCCUGGCAUCAAGUAAACGCUGACAAGAAGUUUAUCUAUAGGCUUAGAACGAUCAUUCUUAAGUCGAAUAAUAGCUCUUCGAAGCUGCUGUAAACGCAAAAAUUCCCGUUCUUGCAUUUCUUUCGUUUCCCUACUUCGCUCUUCCUCUUUCAUAGCAUCUCUCACUCUCGGCUAAAGGGAAGGUUAAUUCAAAAACAACUAACAUUUUCCUACUUACUAAAUUAUAAUUUGCUCUUGCAUUUUGAUUUGAAGGUCGAAAUGAACGAGGUGAAGAAGAUCUCGAAGCAUGCCUUUUUUCAGGUCUACUUCUGUUGAAAUCGCGAGUUGAAUCACGAAAUGCCAUAGUAAUAUAUUUAAAUUCAAUGCCUUAAAUACCAAUAUUGCUGUAUGAAGGGUGCUUUCCAACAGAAGAGAAUCCAAUUGCUUUUUUUUUAUUUGAAACAA
rnacentral:lncRNA from 1 species